rnacentral:rRNA from 1 species
CAGCCGCCACGGUAACACGUAGGUGGCAAGCGUUGUCCGGAAUUAUUGGGCGUAAAGGGCUCGCAGGCGGUUUCUUAAGUCUGAUGUGAAAGCCCCCGGCUCAACCGGGGAGGGCCAUUGGAAACUGGGAAACUUGAGUGCAGAAGAGGAGAGUGGAAUUCCACGUGUAGCGGUGAAAUGCGUAGAGAUGUGGGGGAACACCAGUGGCGAAGGCGACUCUCUGGUCUGUAACUGACGCUGAGGAGCGAAAGCGUGGGGAGCGAACAGGAUUAGAUACCCCGGUAGUCCCUGUCUCUUAUAC